rnacentral:rRNA from 1 species
GACGAACGCUGGCGGCGUGCUUAACACAUGCAAGUCGAACGGAAAGGCCCUGCUUUUGUGGGGUGCUCGAGUGGCGAACGGGUGAGUAACACGUGAGUAACCUGCCCUUGACUUUGGGAUAACUUCAGGAAACUGGGGCUAAUACCGGAUAGGAGCUCCUGCUGCAUGGUGGGGGUUGGAAAGUUUCGGCGGUUGGGGAUGGACUCGCGGCUUAUCAGCUAGUUGGUGGGGUAGUGGCUUACCAAGGCUUUGACGGGUAGCCGGCCUUAGAGGGUGACCGGCCACAUUGGGACUGAGAUACGGCCCAGACUCCUACGGGAGGCAGCAGUGGGGAAUAUUGCACAAUGGGCGGAAGCCUGAUGCAGCAACGCCGCGUGCGGGAUGACGGCCUUCGGGUUGUAAACCGCUUUCGCCUGUGACGAAGCGUGAGUGACGGUAAUGGGCAAAGAAGCACCGGCUAACUACGUG